UCUCUGAGUUUCAUUACACCUUUUAUGUGCUGCCACAUAGCAACUCCAAUACACAUCAUCUCUUCUACAGAGUCGUCGAUCACAAGCGUGCAAGCGAAAGGCAAUAGGGCUUCACGAAUGGACCAAUGAGCAAACAACUGUGUUAAACUCUGCUGUGGUGCCACAACUAGCUGGAACCAAAAGAAGAAUUCAGUAUCACAGCGUUUGAGUAAGCAGAAAUCUUCCACUGUGUGCUUCAUGCUAUAAAAAGGGUCUGGAGCUGGUCCUGCUGCCACAGGGAAUUAGUCACUGAAUCGCUGGAAGUGGAACAUCCUGUUCCCUUUGUCACCAAAAAAUCGGAUGUGUAAUAUCACCGUUCGCUUCACCUGCCUCCUAGAAAGUCGGACGACAGCAGGAGGGCUAUUGUGCGCUGGAAUAGCUCUGUAAAAAGAUUGUUUCAUACAAAGGAGUAACAUUGAAAAC